rnacentral:rRNA from 1 species
GAACGACUCUCGGCAACGGAUAUCUCGGCUCUCGCAUCGAUGAAGAACGUAGCGAAAUGCGAUACUUGGUGUGAAUWGCAGAAUCCCGUGAACCAUCGAGUCUUUGAACGCAAGUUGCGCCCGAAGCCGUCAGGWUGAGGGCACGUCUGCCUGGGCGUCACG